rnacentral:rRNA from 1 species
UUUCUUUUUGGAGAGUUUGAUCCUGGCUCAGGACGAACGCUGGCGGCGUGCCUAAUACAUGCAAGUCGAGCGGACCGAACGGAAGC